GCCUGGUCCUUGCAGAACCCAACUGACUACACACCUAUCAGGUCCUAACGGCCUGGUCCUUGGUAGAACCCAACUGACUACACAGCAAUCAGGGCCUAACGGCCUGGUCCUUGGUAGAACCCAACUGACUACACAGCAAUCAGGUCACUAACGGCCUGGUCCUUGGUAGAACCCAACUGACUACACACCAAUCAGGUCCUAACGGCCUGGUCCUUGGUAGAACCCAACUGACUACACAGCAAUCAGGUCACAGACGGCCUGGUCCUUGGUAGAACCCAACUGACUACACACCAAUCAGGUCCUAACGGCCUGGUCCUUGGUAGAACCCAACUGACUACACACCUAUCAGGUCCUAACGGCCUGGUCCUUGGUAGAACCCAACUGACUACACAGCAAUCAGGGCCUAACGGCCUGGUCCUUGGUAGAACCCAACUGACUACACAGCAAUCAGGGCCUAACGGCCUGGUCCUUGGUAGAACCCAACUGACUACACACCAAUCAAGUCCUAAUGGCCUGGUACUCAGGGCUCUAUUGUCCCUCCAUCAAGUC